UCGGUGGUUCAGCGGUAGAAUGCUCGCCUGCCACACGGGCGGCCCGGGUUCGGUUCCCGGCCGA
rnacentral:tRNA from 1 species